rnacentral:rRNA from 1 species
AGUGAACGCUGGCGGUAGGCCUAACACAUGCAAGUCGAACGGCAGCACAGUAAGAGCUUGCUCUUACGGGUGGCGAGUGGCGGACGGGUGAGGAAUACAUCGGAAUCUACUUUUUCGUGGGGGAUAACGUAGGGAAACUUACGCUAAUACCGCAUACGACCUACGGGUGAAAGCAGGGGAUCUUCGGACCUUGCGCGAUUGAAUGAGCCGAUGUCGGAUUAGCUAGUUGGCGGGGUAAAGGCCCACCAAGGCGACGAUCCGUAGCUGGUCUGAGAGGAUGAUCAGCCACACUGGAACUGAGACACGGUCCAGACUCCUACGGGAGGCAGCAGUGGGGAAUAUUGGACAAAGGGCGCAAGCCUGAUCCAGCCAUACCGCGUGGGUGAAGAAGGCCUUCGGGUUGUAAAGCCCUUUUGUUGGGAAAGAAAAGCAGCAGGUUAAUACCCCGCUGUUCUGACGGUACCCAAAGAAUAAGCACCGGCUAACUUCGUU